AAUAUAUUUAAUAAUAAUUUAAAAAAUAGGCCAUAGGGACCAUGCCGGGAGCAAGAGGGAAGACAGCUGAUCAUCAUUAGGAGGUGGAGGCGAUCCUCAUAUGCAGGUGAGCAGCGGCCCUUGUCCAUCGCCCUCUACAGAUGGGUCUCUUGUCAGAAAUCUGUUGUGUGAGUGAGACCCCCCUGAUGUGCCAAAGCCUAGAAAUCAUCUGGGAGAAAGACACUGUGAGCCACGAGUCAUCACAGAAAUAAAUAACGUCCCCUUUCCUCUUCUUUAAGACAGUCAGGACGCCCACAUGGGUCCGAUUUCCUCUGGCCCCAGCUCUCCUGCCGGGCUCAGCCGCACCACCAUGGACCAGCAGGGACCGCACAGCCCAGGUCUGAGCGCUCGCCUUUCUUGCCACCGGUUCCUGGCCGGGCUGACCCGAGGAGGACAAACAUCCCGCCAGCCAGAAAGGAACUGCUCGCACCAGUCCCUCCACCACCUGCCGGAGACGGAAAAGCUGUUCUCCUGGGUCAGACGCUGAUUCAGUCCUGCUGGUGGGAUGAGAUGUGGUUCCGGGAGCGGCCCCAGCCAUCUCGAACCCAGCGUGGGGAUGAAGCCAGUCCUGAAAUCUGCCCUCCCUCUAGACUGCUG